rnacentral:miRNA from 14 species
CAGUUAUUAAAAUAAUUUUCAUCGCUUCUCGGCCUUUUGGCUAAGAUCAAGUGUAAAAUAAUUUUCUGGUUGGGGUCACUUCAGCAUGAGGGACUGUAUUAAAG